rnacentral:rRNA from 1 species
CCUUAAGCUGUUUAGAAUUUAGUGGAAUCCUUUGGGAAGAGGAGCGAUACAAGGUGAUAGCCCUGUACACGACGGAUUCUUUACAGUGAAAUCGAGUAGGUCGGGACACGUGUUAUCUUGACUGAACAGGUAUCGUUAACUGAAUACAUAGGUUAACGAGGCAAACGAGGGGAACUGAAACAUCUAAGUACCCUUAGGAAAAGAAAUCAACCGAGAUUCCCCUAGUAGCGGCGAGCGAACGGGGAGCAGCCCUUAAGCUGUUUAGAAUUUAGUGGAAUCCUUUGGGAAGAGGAGCGAUACAAGGUGAUAGCCCUGUACACGACGGAUUCUUUACAGUGAAAUCGAGUAGGUCGGGACACGUGUUAUCUUGACUGAAUAUGGGGGGACCAUCCUCCAAGGCUAAAUACUCCUAACUGACCGAUAGUGAACCAGUACCGUGAGGGAAAGGCGAAAAGAACCCCUGUGAGGGGAGUGAAAUAGAACCUGAAACCGUAUACGUACAAGCAGUGGGAGCCACUUCGUGUGGUGACUGCGUACCUUUUGUAUAAUGGGUCAGCGACUUAUAUUUAGUAGCAAGGUUAAGUGAAUAACGGAGCCGUAGCGAAAGCGAGUGUUAACUGCGCGUUUAGUUGCUAGGUAUAGACCCGAAACCCGGUGAUCUAGCCAUGRGCAGGUUGAAGGUUGAGUAACAUCAACUGGAGGACCGAACCCACUAACGUUGAAAAGUUAGGGGAUGACYUGUGGCUGGGGGUGAAAGGCCAAUCAAACCGGGAGAUAGCUGGUUCUCCCCGAAAUCUAUUUAGGUAGAGCCUCGGACGAAUUCCAUUGGGGGUAGAGCACUGUUAAGGCUAGGGGGUCAUCCCGACUUACCAACCCUUUGCAAACUCCGAAUACCAAUGAGAACUAUCCGGGAGACACACGGCGGGUGCUAACGUCCGUCGUGGAGAGGGAAACAACCCAGACCGCCAGCUAAGGUCCCAAAAUAUUGCUAAGUGGGAAACGAUGUGGGAAGGCAUAGACAGCUAGGAGGUUGGCUUAGAAGCAGCCACCCUUUAAAGAAAGCGUAAUAGCUCACUAGUCGAGUCGGCCUGCGCGGAAGAUGUAACGGGGCUAAGCAAUAUACCGAAGCUGCGGCAGCAWGUUUACWUGCUGGGUAGGGGAGCGUUGUGUAAGUGGAUGAAGGUGAGUUGUAAAGCUUGCUGGACAUAUCACAAGUGCGAAUGCUGACAUGAGUAACGAUAAUGGGAGUGAAAAACUCCCACGCCGGAAGACCAAGGUUUCCUGUCCCAUGCUAAUCAGGGCAGGGUAAGUCGGCCCCUAAGGCGAGGCAGAAAUGCGUAGUCGAUGGGAAACGGGUUAAUAUUCCCGUACUUAUAUAAUCAGUGAUGGAGGGACGGAGAAGGCUAGGCAAGCUUGGCGUUGGUUGUCCAAGUGAAAGUGAGUAGGCUGAAGCCCCGGUAAACGGCGGCCGUAACUAUAACGGUCCUAAGGUAGCGAAAUUCCUUGUCGGGUAAGUUCCGACCUGCACGAAUGGUGUAACCAUGGCCACGCUGUCUCCACCCGAGACUCAGUGAAAUUGAAAUCGCAGUGAAGAUGCUGUGUACCCGCACCUAGACGGAAAGACCCCGUGAACCUUUACUACAGCUUGGCACUGAACAUUGAACCUACAUGUGUAGGAUAGGUGGGAGGCUUUGAAGCACAGUCGCUAGAUUGUGUGGAGCCGUCCUUGAAAUACCACCCUUGUAUGUUUGAUGUUCUAACAUUGUUCCCUUAUCGGGAAUGUGGACAGUGUCUGGUGGGUAGUUUGACUGGGGCGGUCUCCUCCCAAAUAGUAACGGAGGAGCACGAAGGUUAGCUAAUCACGGUCGGACAUCGUGAGGUUAGUGCAAUGGCAUAAGCUAGCUUAACUGCGAGACAGACACGUCGAGCAGGUACGAAAGUAGGUCAUAGUGAUCCGGUGGUUCUGUAUGGAAGGGCCAUCGCUCAACGGAUAAAAGGUACUCCGGGGAUAACAGGCUGAUACCGCCCAAGAGUUCAUAUCGACGGCGGUGUUUGGCACCUCGAUGUCGGCUCAUCACAUCCUGGGGCUGAAGUCGGUCCCAAGGGUAUGGCUGUUCGCCAUUUAAAGUGGUACGCGAGCUGGGUUUAGAACGUCGUGAGACAGUUCGGUCCCUAUCUGGUGUGGGCGUUGGAUGAUUGAUGGGAGCUGCUCCUAGUACGAGAGGACCGGAGUGGACGAACCGCUGGUGUUCGGGUUGUCAUGCCAAUGGCAUUGCCCGGUAGCUAUGUUCGGAACGGAUAACCGCUGAAAGCAUCUAAGCGGGAAGCCGGCCCAAAGAUGAGUCAUCCCUGACCUUUAAGGUCUGGAAGGGUUGUUAUAGACGAUGACGUUGAUAGGCAGGGUGUGGAAGCGUUGUAAGGCGUUAAGCUAACCUGUACUAAUUGCCCGAGAGGCUUAACCAU